rnacentral:rRNA from 1 species
AUUGAACGCUGGCGGCAUGCCUUACACAUGCAAGUCGAACGGCAGCACGGGGGCAACCCUGGUGGCGAGUGGCGAACGGGUGAGUAAUGCAUCGGAACGUGCCCAGUAGUGGGGGAUAACCCGGCGAAAGCCGGGCUAAUACCGCAUACGACCUACGGGUGAAAGCGGGGGACCGUAAGGCCUCGCGCUAUUGGAGCGGCCGAUGUCUGAUUGGCUAGUUGGCGGGGUAAAGGCCCACCAAGGCGACGAUCAGUAGCUGGUCUGAGAGGACGACCAGCAACACUGGGACUGGGACACGGCCCAGACGCCUACGGGAGGCAGCAGUGGGGAAUUUUGGACAAUGGGCGCAAGCCUGAUCCAGCCAUGCCGCGUGCGGGAAGAAGGCCUUCGGGUUGUAAACCGCUUUUGGCAGGAACGAAACGGCGCAAGCUAAUACCUUGCGCUAAUGACGGUACCUGCAGAAUAAGCACCGGCUAACUACGUGCCAGCCGCCGCCGUAAUAC